rnacentral:misc_RNA from 1 species
ACCUAAACCCAAUGGAAGCGGUCACGCAGUAAAGCGGACAGUGGGACUGCGU